CACAUUGCAGAGCGAUCCCCUGUGAAGUGACUUCCGUCCAGGGCCACAAAACAAAACCAUCUAACCUUAAUUAUCACACCUUACGAGACGUCGAUUAUAAAUCUCCUUCAGGGCCUAUAUUUGCUGCUGUCGGCACGGUAAGAAAACGCUUGCCAGGGAGGAUUUCAAACCCGGAAGCGAAUGUGUCAGCUCACUGCAAACUCAACAGCUGGUUGGCUCAUUCUCUAUGGCAGCGAUAGACGUAAAAGAGGGAGCAGCAUUAUGUCUUAUAGAUUUCAUCUUUUCGGUCACCGUAAACUUCGUCAGACUCUCCCAGCCAGCUUGUUUUUUUUCCUUUGAAGCCUUAACAGGAUAAACCGUAGAGGGGAAAUCCGAUCGGCAGGUAUUGCACAGCCGAGGGACGCCGGGCCGUGCACUUUUCACACGCAUCUCGUGGCCUCCCCACACCACGUCAUCCGCAAGGUACACUCACAACAGAGGCUGCAUUUCAGCUGCUUCCAGUUACCGGAGCACCAACUGUGUCUAGCACAGCCACGCUUUUUUGUAAAUGGCUGGGAGUUGGGCCAGAAGUUAGACUUCUCGAAUUCCAUUUCCUUCUCUAAGAUACACAUGUCUUCACAGAUGUGGGAA